AGCUAGUUGGUGAGGUAACGGCUCACCAAGGCCACGAUGCAUAGCCGACCUGAGAGGGUGAUCGGCCACAUUGGGACUGAGACACGGCCCAAACUCCUACGGGAGGCAGCAGUAGGGAAUCUUCGGCAAUGGACGAAAGUCUGACCGAGCAACGCCGCGUGAGUGAAGAAGGUUUUCGGAUCGUAAAACUCUGUUGUUAGAGAAGAACAAGGAUGAGAGUAACUGUUCAUCCCUUGACGGUAUCUAACCAGAAAGCCACGGCUAACUACGUGCCAGCAGCCGCGGUAAUACGUAGGUGGCAAGCGUUGUCCGGAUUUAUUGGGC
rnacentral:rRNA from 1 species